GUACGAUGGCAGCCUCCAGCUGGAAAGCCGCAGGGAGAAAAAAAAAAUCUAACUCGUGGUUGCAGUGGUUGUUAAGAAUACUAGAGAACAGGCACAGUUUCUUCAGGGACUCCAUCUUCUUUGCAAAUGUCUGCCUCACUGUCUGAAGGAAAGGGGAAUAUUUACAUGCACUCUCUUUGCUCAAAGCACUCAGGCCACUCAGUCACAGAGUGAAAGAAAUAGGCAAAUGCACUAAUGCUUAGCUCUCUCAAGGAAAGUCAUUAGUUUCUUCAUGUCCUGGACAAGAAAAUCUCUGCAGCUCAUAAAAGAGAAGCAGUUUUGGGGACAGGAAGAAAAAUGUCAGGAGAAGCAUGGUCAUACAUCUAAUGGCAGUUGGGGUACCAGCUCCAAUGGUGGCCUCAGGCCAGCGCCUCCCAGGACCACACUGGGCCUGCAUUGACUCAUGUGCCAAAUGCAGACCACACUCCCUGCUCUGAGUACCUCCCGUGUGCUUAUGAAGACCAGGAGAAAUACGGAACACAAGAGCAUUUUGUAAUAUACAUAUAGAGAUUGUUAAUAAAGGAAUUUCAAACAAAAGCUACAAAUGGGACUUUUUUUCUUUUUAAAAAUUUUUUUUAACAUUGAUUUAUUUUUGACAGAGAAAGAGACACAGCAUGAGCAGGGGUAGGGGCAGAGAGAGAGAGAGAGACAGAGAGAGAGAUACAGAGAGAGAGAGACAGAGAGAGAAUCCGAAGCAGGCUCCAGGCUCCGAGCUGUCAGCACGGAGCCCGACGCGGGGCUCGAACUCACAGAGUGUGAGAUCAUGACCUGAGCUGAAGUCGGACGCCCAACCUACUGAGCCACCCAGGCGCCCCAAAUGGGACUUUUCAAGCCCAGGCAGCAAAAGGAAAUAUAAAUAUAGCCAUAAUUUUACAAUUUUAUAAUGUAGGGGAAGAAAUGGUGAUCAGAAUUGUAACAAACAAUCAUGUCCAAAAGAGAAGAGAAACCAGCUCCACUCUGUCAUAACUGUCUCAGUUCCUGUAGCACAUAGAACAAUGGAAAGACUGCAGGGAGGGGCAGAGACGGCCUCUGUGCUUGCAACAUACCAACGCCAUGGACACUCUGGACCGAGAAAAUGACAUUUUCACCUCGGUAAUCUCACAGUGUAUGUCCUCUAAGAAUGUUUGUGUGGCUCUGUGCAAGCGACUUCAGCACUUUCUCAGCCAUAUCUCCAGGAAAACGGAAAUAAUGGUCACAAUGCAGGAAUGAAACAUAAGACUGAUAGUUCUAUGCAACUGUGCGAUUAGAAGGAGUAAGGCCCAAGCUCUCGGCUUGCUCACCUGGAUGGACAGGCAUGCAAGGGCAGACCUCGCCCGUGAGUGGAUUUCAGGACCCCAGCAGCACAGGCAGGUUCAGGUAAUACUCAGGCAAUAACUAACUUUAAAGGAAGUAGAGACAGCCUAAGCAGUAGGUCAACACAAGCAAAUGCUGAGCUCUGGACCAAGAGGCAAAGCAGUCCUCCAGCUUUAGCCUACUGGAGAGCAGCCAGCUUAGGACACAGAUGAGGUCUGAGCUAAAAUUCAAGCCCCAGGCCCAAGGACACACAGUCACAAGAAGAGUUAUAUUUCACAAAGCAAAAUGGCACCCUCUUGGUCUGCACUGGGCUAGAGUUACCAAACAGAUCUCCAGGGCCUUGGGACAUCAGGUGACAAAGGAGCUAAAAUAAGCAAGAUAAAUUAACCCUACCUGUAAUUCACCAAAGAGGAGACCUCAAUGGCAAACAAAUAGAGCAAAAAUAGAUAACAAUAAAAUAUACACACAUGUAGGCAACUUCAAUAGUAAGGGAAUGCAAAACAGGACAACAAUGAGAUACUACUUUUCACACACAGUUUGGCAAGAAAUUAGAAGCGUCAGAAAAUUUACUUUGGGAACAGUUGUGUCAGGAAACUGACACUUAAAGUAUUAUGUUUCUUUUAUAAAUGCAUAUUUUCUAUUUCUUUGACGCAUAUUUGAUGUCCAUGGCCACUCUGGUGAUACAAUGGCAGACAGAGUGGUUGUGACAGAGACCACCUGGCCCUCAAAGGCUAAAACAGCUCCUACCUGACCAUCCACAGAAACAUUCUGCAAGCCCCAGUUCUAAAUUAAAAAAGUAUUGCUUCCAAUUACUAGACAUCUAAGAAAUCUGUUUGUUUUUUUAAGCCUUUUCUAGGUGUUGUUGCAAUGGUCUAAGAUGACCCAUAAUUCAUAUUAGGGUCUAUCUGGAUGUAUAUUCAUGAUAUAACUUGUUUUUAUUGACGCUUACCAACUACCCCAAGGACAUUACAAUAGUCCUCCCUCUUCGGAGUGUUUCGAGAUGCUGCUUCACUGCAUAUUCAGUUCCACAUGCAGGGGCUCUGUCGCUGGUGGUCAUGUUACUGAGAGAGCCUCUUAGUCCAGCACCAACACCACCAUUUCACUUAUAGUUGCUUUAUAACGCACCUUAGCAUCUGGCCAGGCUGGCCCCCAUUCCUCACCACUCCUGGUUUUCAAAUUUCUCUUAGCUCUUCUGCCUACCUUUUAUCAAGACAGUUUUGGAAUCCAUUUUUGUUAGGAUUCGAGAACAAUACCCUCAAAAGCUGGGCCCAGAUGACAUGCAAUGUAGAGGAAAUUAACUCCUUAACCACCUUCCUAUCUCCAUUUAGGAAGGAGGUGUAUCUUUCCCUUUAUUCAAGAGGUCCUUGGGGGUACUCAAAAAGUUCUAGAACCUUUUCCUACAAGCCAGGCACAAUUCUCAUUAAAAGACACCCUCUUUGCUUCGCAGUGAAUAGGCUUGCAAAGAUCACAAAGUAUUCAUUUUCUAAUGCCACAUACAAAAUGUAACUGCAAAUGAAACAUGAGGAGACAUGUUUAACCUUACAAUAACCAAAGAAAUGCUAAUACCAAAGAAACAACACAUUGAAUGCUGGCAGAAGCAGCAAGAUAGGCAAGAUACUGACUCCCUCAUGCAUUCCUGCAGCAGCUAUGGAAACAUCCCCUAGCAUACAAGCCAUCAGUGGAUUUGAAUAACUAUACAAUGUUAACCUCUGACCUUGAUAUCUCAACCCUCAGACAUCAUGCUUAAAAUUGCUGAUGGACUAAGCUAUACUGAUGUAUAAAAAUGAUAAUCACAGCAAUAUAUAAAAAUAAUGGAAUAAUUAAGUAAGAUACGGUGUAACCACUCAAUGCAAUAUUAAACAGGGUUUAAAAUUGUAAUCACUCAAGACUAUGCAGCGAUACUUAACGUAUGAUGCCAAGUGAUACAUAGCACUAUGGUAAUUUAUGCUAAUAGCUAAAGAUUACAAGGGAAUACACAAAAAUGAUAGAUCAUACCUGUAUCUAGGUGGUAGAAUUAUAGGUGACAUUUUUUUUUUCUGCUCCACGUUCUGGGCCUUGCACAAUGUUACAUUAUUUAUAUAAUUAAAAAAUACAAAAGAGGGGGCCAAUUUUCAGGUGUCUUCCAGAUCAACAGUUUGCAAUUAUUUUGCUCUUAAAGGUGGAAAUAGGAGACUGAGGCAAGUGCACCAACUUUUCAAAGGCCCACAGAUCAAGUACAGGCAGAAUUGAGACUAGAACCCGAAUCUCAAGAUUUUAGAGGUAGUAUUCUUUCCGACACAGCAUUUUGCGGUGUCCUUUUUCUAGGGGCCAACCAACUCUUGGGUCAUUUUAAUAUUUUUACAUAUUAUAAAUAAGUAAAUGAAAAGAGCAAUGAUCUAUUACCUCUCUUGAGAACAAGGGCUUUAAAAAUCUUACAAAAUGUCUUGAUUGGCUGAGGUUUGAAUCAAAUGUCUUUUCUGAAUACGGCUAUUCCACAGAGAAGAAAUCCAGUUGACCCUUAACCAACUAAGAAGUCAGGGUCACUGAUCCCCCAAGCAGUGGAAAAUCUGUAUAUAUCUUUCAAGGCCCCCAAAACUUACCUACUUAAUAGCCUACUGUUGACUGGGAACCUUAGCAAUCACCUAAACAGUCAAGUAACAUAAGUCAAGUAACGUAUAUUUUGUAUAUUAUGUGUAUUAUAUACUGUAUUCUUUCAAUAAAGUAGCUAGAGAAAAGAAAAACUUAAUAAGCAAAUAAUAAGGAGGGGCACCUAGGUGGCUCAGUAGGUUAAGUGUCAGGCUCUUAAUUUCAGCUCAGGUCAUGAUCUCACCGUUGAUGAGAUCGAGCCCCAUGUUGGACUCUGCACUGACCUUGCAGAACCUGCUUGGUAUUCUCCUUCUCUCCCUCUCUCUCUGCCCCUCCCCUGUUCACAUUCUCUCUCUGUCUCUCAAAAUAAGUAAACUUAACAAAAAUAUGAAAGAAAGAAAAUCAGAAGGAAGAGAAAACACACUUAUUGUACUACGCUGUAUUUAUGUAUUUACUUUUAUUUAUUUAUUUAUUUAUUAUUUUUUUAAGUAGCCUCCCCACCCAGAGUGGAGCCCAAUGCGGGGCUUAAACUCACAACCCUCAGAUCAAGACCUGAGUUGGACGCUUAACUGACUGAUCCACUCUACUUAAUUUUUUUACAAUUUUUUAAAAUGUUUAUUUAUUUUUGAGAGAGGGACCCACACAAAGCAUGAGUGGGGGAGGUGUAGAGAGAGAGGGAGACACAGAAUCCAAAGCAGGCUCCAGCCUUGGAGCUGUCAGCCCAGAGCCCGAUGUGGGGCUGGAACUUGCGAACCAGGAGAUCAUGACCUGAGCCGAAGUCAGAUGCUUAAUACACUGAGCCAUCCAGGCACCCCUGUAUUUAUGUUUUAAUAAUCCACUAUACGUGGACCCACGUAGUUCAAACCUGUGUUGUUCAAGGGCCAUAUGUCAGUCUUUUCCACAAAUGCCUGCAUAUUACAAUCUUGCUUUUGUAGAAGCAGUACUUUCCUCAUAAAGUCAGAAAACAAUUUGAGGGCUAAAUCAAGCAUUAAUUUAACAAAAAAGAUAAACUUCAGCUUUGGACACUUACUUUAGAAGCUAAGAGGUCUCAACUUGCAAUAUUAUCACGCCAGGAAAAAAAAAAUCCCUUCAAAAUUUGAAAGCUAAUGAGAACUAUUUCUUUGACUCUUCUCACUGCAACCUGACAACACAUUUGGCAGAGAGGUGUUUAUAUACCUGUAUACACAAUGGAUAACCAUAAUUAGUUUCUAAUAUCCUGUAAUGUCUAAAGAUAACAUUUGGAGCCCACAUGUAUUCGAACACUCUGUGAAUUCUGAGGGGGUUCUAAUUAGGUCCCAGUGGAGGUAAUAUUUAGAAAAGAACAAGGUAAAAUAAAUCAUCAAAUAAAAGACAGCAAGAAUAAAUGGUUAAUAAGGCAGAGAGGCUCCUGUGGUGUGUGUGUGUGUGUGUGUGUGUGUGUGUGUGUGUGUGUGUGUAUACUAGGAUUUAAGCAUUAUCUACUGAAGGCACAUUUUCCAAGAGCUUGAGCAACCACUUCUAGCAACUGGUGAGAUAGUUUCCUAUUUCCUGAUAUGCUACAGAACUUUCUCCUUCCCAUGGUUUUCUAAAUAUUGAGUGACAUAUCAAUCAUCCCUCAACCUGCUGUUUUCAGUCACCUUCUGAAAAAAAUGCCUCUUUCAUCCUGCCUUGACACUAUUCAAAUCAUGAUAAAAUAAACAUUGAAGGGGUAGGGGUUGGGGUGAGGCAGAAAUUAGGACGCAUUUUAUAGACUAGUAAAUAUAUUCAUAGAAGUAUAUUAUAAUUACAAUUAAAAUAUAAUUUUAUGUUGCAGAUGCCUGGGUGGCUCAGUUGGUUGAGUGACCGACUCUUGAUUUCAGCUCAAGUCAUGAUCCCUGCAGUCACAGCAUCAAGCCCCAUGUCGGGCUCUGUGCGGACUGUGGAGCAUGCUUAAGAUUCUCGCUCUCUCUUCCUCUGCCCCUCUCCCCCACUUGCACUCUCCUCCCUCUCUCCAAAAAAAAAAAAAAAAAAAAAAAAAAAAAAGCUAAGUGUGCACGUAUAUAAAACUUUAUGUGUAUAUAAAGAACAAUCGCCUCAGCAGAGAGAAAGAAUUUGAGGGUUAAAUUUACAAUGAAAGAUGAGUAUGCUGGCGACUUUGUGAGAGUCCUCAUUCAAGUUUAAUCUUUCCCUCACACAUACUCCUAAUGCACACUUUUGUGCCUUUAACGUUAGACACGUCUUAGCCCAGUUAGUAUUACAUCCUUCCUGUUAAGAUGUCUGUCUCUUCUGCCAGACAUAAAGCUCCUUGAGGGCAGAAUUAUACUUUAAUCAUGUUUUCAAGUCAUAAAGCACCUCACACACAACUUUACCAGUGCCUGGUAAAGAAAAUACAUUUCAUUAGGUAAAAUGUAUAUCUAUUUGUGGCAAACCAUGCUAAGGAGGUGGGGAGAAAAUGGGGAAUAAUUGAGAAUAUGUACAAAAAAUAUCAAUUAAAAUGGAUUAUAUGUCCCUAUACUACCCACAGUCAACACAAACGAACAACCAUAUUAAAUUUUCCAGAAAUACAUUAGAAAAUAUCUUCUGUGUCUCAUGUCCCCCCUGAUGAUGUCUAGGAACAAAUGUACCACAGCAGGGUGAAAAGGAAAGUACAAUUUAAGGUACAGUAGAAAGGAACUGGAUUCAAAACCAGAAUCCUCAUAAAAUUGAGUAUCUGACAAAAGUCAGUCAUUUCACAGUAAAAACUUAAGACAUAAAAAUAAAAAAAAAAUAAGGCAAGAAGUUAAACACCCGUAGGCUUCAGUGGAUAGCACACAAUGAGCACUAUUGAUAAACCAGCACUAUACGGACUUGAACCUCGUCUGGGCCUUAGUUUUCUAUCAAGGUUUUGGGCCCUAUGUUUCUACAGGUAAAAAUACCAGGAGACAAAACCUUAUAUGUUAGGAAAACAACGCACAUGCCGAGGGUAAGACACAAAGAAGAGGGCCAAUACAGUCAAGGAAUAUACUCUUUUUGUAGAAGUUAAUGUCCCAAUAGCUUCUGGGGGAAAAUCUUCAAAAAAAUGCUACAUUAAUUUAAAAAAAAAGCAG